UCAAGAGUUCCUACAAAAGGAAAAAUGUUUCGGUGUCAGCCAUACUGCCUCAUCAUAAAAUUCAUGCCUCAUGUUCAUAACACUUGAAAAAGAAUCACGAACAUCGGACACCAUGUUAAGAGCCAACAGUAUACAUACAGACUGAAAUAUCGGACAGUCUCUAAGGCCCUCGAUCAAGACAUGAUCCAGUUGAUUUCAAACGUGAUACAACAGAAUUCAGUGUGAACUUGAAUCCAAUAUCCAUGAAUCAGUAACAACGGCAAGUUAAACACAGAAGAUACAGAUGACAAAGGAACUCAUUCUGAACAAAAAAAUCAAAAUAACAACGGACAAAUGACGCCACGAAACAUUGCGACAGCUUCUUCCAUCGCACCAGCGUCAAUAACAGGAACAAUAGCAGGCAAUACUUCUGGUAUGUAGAACCUGUACAAUUAUAAUCAAUCACCAGGCUAUAACAGUAUAUUGCAUGACAAAUAUUAUUCGAUGAGUAAACUUAAAUUUGCGGCGUUCACCAAAAUUCGACCGGAUCUCUGGUUCAUCAUAGCUGAGGCUGAAUUCACUACUUUUGGAAUCGUUGAUGAUAAAGUAAAAUACCUGACGGUCCUUGAGGCCCUGAUUUCAGACAUGAUACAACAGGAGUUCGCUACAGUGAGUCAAUGCUCCCAAAUAGAACACCUUCUCAGCUACUGCGACAAAUACGCGAAUUGGCUGAUGGUUUCGCUGAUGAUACCAUAUUGCAACAACUUUGGCUUGAACGAAUACCAACAUAUAUCAAACCCUAUCUGAUUACCACAAGUAAACUUCCACUUGAUGCUAUAGCCGAGUAUGCGGGCCGUUUUUACAAGCUGAUGCCUUACGUUCAACAGAAUAACCAGGUUAUGUAUGGCAAUCUUUACACGCUAUUUUGCAUCACCGACUCUUUAUGACAUUGACUCGAAGUUCAUAGAUAUUAAAAAAUCUUUUGUGAUGGAGUUCAAUGAGUUCAUAUCACAAUUGAUUCUACUGCAACAACAAAACCAAAAACUGCAGGCUUGGCAAUCUCCGAAGCAUCAUAAUCGCACCAGUUCAAGAUCAUCGACACCUAUUCGUAAUAGAAUCUCCUAUUAUCACCAAAGUUUUGGCAGAGAAGCAAAACGCUGCCUUUUACCUUAUAAAUUCGCUUCUAUGACAACCUGACAACAACAAAUUAGGGAAACUAACGUCGCUGUCAUUUGUAAGAGCAGUAAAAGACAGCAACUCCAGACUAAAAGAGCUCGGACUACACUAUCAAACAGAAAUUCUUGAUUGACUCUGGAUCGGUCGUGUCCAUAAUAUCUGCAAAAAAGUUUCAUAAAAAUAGAAAUACCGACUCACACUUUAUGCUGCAACUUCAUUACAAAUAUACGGCACUAAAAUUAUCAACCUUGAUUUAAAUCUCCGCAGAGAUUUUUGCUGGUCCUUUAUCAUCGCAGACUGAAAUAGCAAUCAUCGUGUCUCAUCUCUUGUCAAAAGGUAAUGCAUUGGAAGCACAGCAUUACGGCAUCUCAUCUAUAAGUUCAGAUUUGUCCACUGAGUAUGCCGAACUUUUAAAACAAUUCGUUGAAAUCACUUGGUCGAUUAGCAAGACAUGCUGAAAUUUAAAAGCACGUCCAUUUGCGCACAAAAUUAUUACGCAUGGUCCAUUAGUCGUACUGCACGAGCACGUAAACUAGCAGGUGAAAAGGCAGCGGCGGCACAAACUCAAAUCAGAGAACUUCUGAACUCCGGAAUCAUUCAGCAGAAUAUACGCCAAUCCUAUUCAUCUGAUACGAUAGAUAGACAACACCUGGAGAACGCGCGGUGACUACAGUAAACUCAAUGAUGCUACUAAUCCUGACAUAUAGUUCUCCGCUCAAACUUUCUGUGUAUACACGAUAGAAAACAUUACAGCAAAAUCGACUGCGAAGAAGUAUAUCUACAACUACCUAUACACGUGGACAACAUUGAAAAACUGCUAUUAUAACACCUUGGGUUGAGUACUUAGAGACUUGGACUUCGUCUUCGUCUACGUGGAUUGCAUUCUGGUAUUCUCGGACGAUGAAGACUAAUAUCUGGAACACAUACACAUUGAACGCUUAAAAGACAACAACGUCGUUAUUAAUCUCAAAAACUUACUGUUCAACCAAAGAGUAAUAAACUUCCUGGGCUAUACCAUUAAUGAACAUGGUUACAUUACGACGUGCGAACGAGUUGAUGCCAUUAAAGGAUGUCAGAAACCUAAAACUAUCGCUGAACUUCGCAGAUUUCUCGGCAUGAUCAACUAUCCUUGCUGUAUACUUCAGGCAGUUCAGAUCAUGUUGCCUCACAUUUGGCGUGAUCCUUAAGGAUGCACUCAAAUGGUCUAGAGAAUAUCUUGCUUGCCAAAGAGGAAAAAUUCACCGUCACAAUAAGAUCAAGCCAAUCCACAUAGACAUACUUGAUAACCGCUUUAACAAUAUUCAUUUGGACAUCACCUUUCUACUGAAGGUCAAACACCACCGAUAUUGCUUAAUUCUUUCGCGACGGCACACCUAUUCCAAACUUUGUUGUCUUCCGCGAAAGCGCAGUAACACUUUGUCAGUAACACUUUGUAGCGAUCUCUACUCAUAAUUUUGCAAAAGAUGUCACUUCGCAAUAAUUUAUUUUUGCUUCAAUAUUCAUCAAUUGAUAAUUUCUUCUCUCUAGACAUUAGUAAGCAAACAGCGAUAAAACAGUACAGUUCGUCUUUGUCCCAGGUUCAGGAUUACUAUUAUCUCUUCUUCUCCAUUGAUUAGUUGUUUUUUUCAACAAUGAAAUCUUUCAAUUCCUGAGAUACGAAUAAUUUGAAAAAUC